rnacentral:rRNA from 1 species
UACGGGGGGAGCAAGCGUUGUUCGGAUUUACUGGGCGUAAAGGGCGCGUAGGCGGCCUCUGCAAGUCGACUGUGAAAUCUCCGGGCUUAACCCGGAACGGUCAGCCGAUACUGCAGGGCUAGAGUGCAGAAGGGGCAACCGGAAUUCUCGGUGUAGCGGUGAAAUGCGUAGAUAUCGAGAGAAACACCUGCGGCGAAGGCGGGUUGCUGGGCUGACACUGACGCUGAGGCGCGAAAGCAUGGGGAGCGAACGGG